CAGUGACGCCAUAAGGGAGAAGAUGAAGAAAAAUUACAUGUCCAAUCCAAGUUACAAUUAUGAAAUUGUGAAUCGGGCUUCCCUGGCUUGCGGCCCUAUGGUGAAAUGGGCAAUUGCACAGCUUAACUAUGCAGACAUGUUAAAGAGAGUGGAGCCCCUACGCAAUGAGCUGCAGAAGCUGGAAGAUGACGCCAAGGACAACCAGCAGAAGGCCAACGAGGUGGAGCAGAUGAUCCGAGACCUGGAAGCCAGCAUCGCCCGCUACAAGGAGGAAUACGCCGUCCUGAUCUCAGAGGCCCAGGCUAUCAAGGCAGACCUGGCAGCUGUGGAGGCAAAAGUAAACCGGAGCACUGCUCUUCUGAAGAGCUUGUCUGCUGAACGUGAACGAUGGGAAAAAACAAGUGAAACUUUCAAAAACCAGAUGUCCACCAUUGCUGGGGACUGUCUCUUGUCGGCUGCGUUCAUUGCCUACGCGGGUUACUUUGACCAGCAGAUGCGUCAGAACUUGUUCACUACCUGGUCCCAUCACCUACAGCAAGCCAACAUCCAGUUCCGUACAGAUAUUGCCAGGACGGAAUACCUUUCCAAUGCUGAUGAGCGUCUUCGCUGGCAGGCCAGCUCCUUGCCUGCUGAUGACCUUUGCACAGAAAAUGCCAUCAUGCUGAAACGAUUCAAUAGGUAUCCGCUGAUCAUUGACCCCUCUGGACAGGCCACAGAAUUCAUUAUGAAUGAAUAUAAGGAUCGUAAGAUCACACGGACCAGCUUCCUGGAUGACGCCUUCAGAAAGAACUUAGAGAGUGCACUGAGAUUCGGUAACCCCCUUCUGGUCCAGGAACAUGGAUGGAGCCGGAGGCCAUUAUCCUCAGCAAACUAAUGCAGGAGCAGAAAACCAAGUACCAGAUGUUCUCACUUAGAAGUGGGAGCUAAAUGAUGAGAAC
rnacentral:sRNA from 1 species